rnacentral:lncRNA from 1 species
GGCUGGUUACAGUACUGUGAGACUCAGGCUCGUGCCCGCGUCGACCGAAAGGUUUGUUUUCUUUCCUCUGUUUAGCUAAAUGGACAUUCCCGGUCGGAAUAUUAUCGCUUUUUUACGAGAAAAAUGGCAUAAAAAUGGAUUUUAAACAGCGGUUGACAUGCUUCGAAGUACGGUAAUGGAAUAUUUAGAUUUUUUUUGUCACGAAUUGCACCAUGCGCACGACCCUUCUUUACCAUUCGGAUAGUGUCUGGGACGCACAAACAAAACGCCGCUAUUCGGAUAUAACGAUGGAUUAUUUUGGACCAAACCAACAUUUGUUAUUGAAGUAGCAGUCCUGGGAGUGCAUUCUGACGAAGACAACAAAAGGCUCUGAGAGUGAAUGAGGACAGUCACGGGUUGGAGAGAGGCUGAAGAAUAUACUGUACUCAGUUUUCCCGGUUUUGACCAUUCUGCCUACCCUGACCCUGAGCCUUCCUGCCGUUCUGUACCAUUGUCACACCACCCUGGAUUAUUGAUCUCUGCCUGCCCUGACCCCGAGAAUGCCUGCCGUUCGGUACCUUAUGGACUUAUCUGGAUUACUGACCUCUGCCUGCCCUUGACCUGUUGUUUUGCUUGCCCCCUAUUCUAGUAAUAAACUUUUGUUACUUCGACACUGUCUGCAUCUGGGUCUUCUCCUGAAACGUGAUAAUUUGGCCAUAAACAAAGAGUAGACAGUGGCAGAAUACCUGAACACUGUGGCUGACCCAACAUUAAGGAAAUCGUUGACUAUGUACAGACUCAGUGAGCAUAGCCUUGCUUUUGAGAAAGGCCACCGAAGGCAGACCUGGCUCUCAAGAGAAGACAGGCUAUAUGCACACUACCCACAAAAUGAGGUGGAAACUGAGCUGCACUUCCUAACCUCCUGCCAAAUGUAUGACCAUAUUAGAGACACAUAUUUCCCUCAGAUUACACAGACCCACAACAUUUUUUUUAAACAUCCAAUUAUGAUAAACUCCCAUAUCUAUUGGGUGAAAUACCACAGUGUGCAAUCACAGCAGCAAGAUUUGUGACCUGUUGCCACAAAAGGGAAACCAGUGAAGAACAAACACCAUUGUAAAUACAACAUACAUUUAUGUUUAUUUAUUUUCCCUUUUGUACUUUAACAAUUUGCACAUCAUUACAACACUGUAUUUAGACAUAAUGACAUGUCUUCAUUCUUUUGGAACUUUUGUGUGUAAUGUUUACUGUUAAUUUUAUAUUGUUUAUUUCACUUUUGUUUAUUAUCUAUUUCACUUGCUUUGGCAAUGUAAACAUAUGUUUCCUAUGCC